ensembl:lncRNA
UAUUAAAUAUCAAAUGUAUAGUAGUUAUUAAGAUUGAUGUGAUUUGGAAUUGGUAAAAUGUGUUUGGAAAAAAAAAUAUCAUCAGAAUAUCAAUGUGCCUAAUUAUUAUGCACUCGGUGAAAAUGCAUUUUUAACGAUUUUAUUGAUCUAUAAGCAUUUGUAAAAUAUUUUUGCCUGCAUUACAGCUUAGUCUUCAUCUGUGAGCUUAACUGUUUUACUGUUACAUCUAUGAGAUUGUGUAAAUUCAGAUAAAUGUCAUGUCACAGGAUGUCUGUCAUAGGUCAGUACCAAAUAAGUUUCAAAUUAUUUACAGAAUAAAAAAAUAUAUAUGAAUCCACCUGUAUGUAUUUUAAAAAAAAAUCUUUUUAUGUUGCAAUUAACAUAUUUCUUAACCUAAUUAUAUAAAAUGAUGUUGUCUGAGCCCUACAAAUUGUACUAGUUUUUUUUUUGUCCCUAAAACUGACAGAAAACGAUAAGGCCUAAGAGAUUUCUAAAGCUGUAAUGAUGAAAAAAUAAAAAACAUCACACAAUUACUGAUUUUUUUUUCUUUCUGGUGAUUAAAGAGAUGUUAACUCUCUCUCUCUCUCUCUCUCUCUCUCUCUCUCUCUCUCUCUCUCUCUCUCUCUCAGCCAGGCCCUCAACCAAGUUUAAAGCACAUAGUUUUGAACAGUUUUCAAUGGCCCCCACACACAAAAACACUUUUCCCUCCGAAUCAUAAAUUCCUUUUAGGUUCAUAAAAAGGUCACACACGGGGGCUGUACAGGGAGGGGUGGGGGGUCCAAACAGGUGUACAAAACAGAUGGCUUUUAUGACCCUCAUCAAGCAAACUUUUUGAGACAAGCCACACUAUACUCUCUCUCUCGGUCGUGACUCGGACUCAACCCUUUCUGAACUCGGACUUGACUCGGACAGCCCUCUCUGAAAUCGAUCUUGACUCGGACUCGAAUGAGCUGGUCUUGACUACAACACUGUUACCUACAAAAAAGUCUCUUGGUACAAAAUCCAAAACCAAACAGGAAGUAAGUUAUUAGGGCUCAAGCCCGAAGGGGCGAAGAGCCCUCUUGUUUUUCUAAGGAUUAUUCUUAUUAGGGCUCAAGCCUGGAGGGCGAAGAGCCCUAUUGUUUUCCUUAGGAUUAUUAUUUUUUUUUUUUCUUUCUUUAUUCCUCUAAUUUUUUUCCAAGGGUUUCGGGGGCUUUUGGGACCCUUAACAUGCUUAAAAAGUCUUGAAAAUUUGCACACACCUCGGAAUCUGCGGCCAUUAGGGCCGGGCAGAGACUGAUACACGGGCGUGGCACAGGGGCUCUACAGCGCCCCCUGGAAUAUUGAGGGCCAUAUAUCAUCCAUACUUGCACGUAUACAUAUGAAACUCGGUACACAUGUAGAUCUCAUCAAACCAAACAACUUUCGCACUGCAUGUCAUAAGCUCCGCCCAACAGGAAGUUGGCUAUUUAGGGUUUUGUGAAAAACACAUGCUCUGGAAUUUGAUAUACUCCUCUGAGGAACUCCACCCGUUCGCCACAAAACUCGGUGAACAUGAUCUCAAGACAUUGGGGAUGCUAAAUUGCGAAGAUAUUUUUGAUAUCUCGAACGGUUUGUCCGUGGUGAGGCGUUGAAAUUAUGGCGAGAAAUGAGAAACAGGAAAUGUCUAAUAACAUUCACAUACAUUACCUGAUUUAGAUC